AAAGAUGGUGGAAGGUAGUUCUACAACUGUCAUGUCGGGCGGUAGAAAGCCCCGUUCUGUGGCAAACCCUCUGGAUUCCGCGAUCACCACACCCAGUGAACGAAUCUUGAGAGAAUGCCACAAUUUAUAUAUCGACAACGAAAACGGGCUGGUGAAGAUAGCAAGCCGACUGGGUCUCCGGCUCCUUCCUCCACGGAAGAAGAUCAUUGUGAUGAUAAUGGGGAACCACUCUGCUGGAAAAAGCUCAUUUAUUAAUUGGUAUGUGGAAGAACAUAUACAGAGAACAGGUGUUGCCAUAGAAACGCAGGGAUUUACAUUUAUAACAAGUGGUCGGAAAAGAGAAUCACUGACGGGAAAUGCCACGCUCCAUCUCUACCCCCAUUUCCGACCACUCCUGGAGUUUAAAGGUGUUACGGACUAUCUGUCGGCUGAGAUCUCCACCUCCAAGCAGAAGAAGUUUAGUCUGGUGACGUUCGUGGACACACCGGGCUUGGUGGAUGGAGACAUGGUCUAUCCCUUUGAUGUCAACCGCGCGAUCACCUCGUUUGGGGAGCAGGCGGACCUGGUCUUUGUGUUCUUCGACCCUAUGGGCCAGGCGCUGUGCAAGCGCACGCUCAACAUUGUAGAGAAGCUGAGCGAUAAGGUUGCCGACAAGCUGCGCUUCUACCUCAGCAAGGCAGAUGAAGCCGGGAGGGAGACGGACAGACAGCGUGUCAUGAUGCAGAUAGUUCAGGAACUGUGUCGCCGACCGGGGCUGAACAAGUGUGGCUUUGAGAUGCCCACCAUAUACAUCCCUAACCCCCAGAAGCCGAGCCGGUGUGUGAACCAGAUCGACGGAGUGUGUCAGACGAUAGAGAAGACCAUCAACCAGGCCGUGCAGAAGACACUGGACCAGCUGGAGAAGGACUGUGACCUCAUCUCCUCCACAAUCGACAGCAAAUUGUCCCAGGACAGGGCGGACGUGAGUUUCAACAGCAGUGUCCGUCUGCACUCCUUCCUGUGUGGGGCACUGGGCAUCCUACUGCCAUGCCUUUUCAUCCUCAGCUUUGUCGUCAACACCCUCACCCCAGAGGAGCUGCAGGAGCUGCUGGGAGAUGGGCUGGGCAAAGCCCUUGGGCUCUCCAUGGGUGUAGUUGUCUUUCUGUGGACCUGGAUACCAGAGGAUUUCCAGAUAUUGUUUGUGAUCAUAUUUGGUGUACUCUGCUACUUUUUCUUUUGUCUUGCCAAGUAUUUUGCCCGCCGUUGUCAUGUGAUUGUGUCCUCAGCCAAGGGAAUAGGACUCUGACGAAGAAGGAGAAGAGAAGCCUCACAGAGUACAGCGAUUACGUCCAGGACGUCGUCAAAGCCAAGAAGGGAAAACUAUACGAGGAGUAUCUCGCGCAGUGUGCUGCUGAAUAUGACUUCUGAUAAGGGGCGGAUCCAUCGGAAAUCUACAUGCCGGACUUUCUCGUUGAUUAAUUGUUUUGUAGGACGUCUCCGUAAGUGUUUUCAUAAUCACACUGGUAAAGGGCUCACAUGCCUAGGAUUGUACAAUUUGGGAAGCUUUCUGGUACAUUUAUAAACAUUUACAUGCCACUGGGCGAAGUAUUACUUUCUGUAAUAAAACUCAUUCUGAUUGGCUGGGCCUGGUUCCCGAGUGUGUGGGCCUAUGCCCUCCCAGGCCCACCCAUGGCUGCGUCCCUGCCCAGUCAUGUGAAAU